rnacentral:rRNA from 1 species
AUUGAACGCUGGCGGCAGGCCUAACACAUGCAAGUCGAACGAGUGGCGGGCGGGUGAGUAAUGUCUGGGAAACUGCAUGAUGGAGGGGGAUAACUACUGGAAACGGUAGCUAAUACAGAAUACCAUCAGAUAUGCCCAGAUGGUAUUAGCUUGUUGGUGGGGUAACGGUUCACCAAGUCGACGAUCCAUAGCUGGUCUGAGAGGAUGAGCCGUCACACGGCAACUGAGACACUGUCCAGACUCCGACGGGAGGCACCAGCGGGAAAUAUUGGACAAUGGGCGCAAGCCUGAUGUAGCCAAGCCGCGUGAAUGAAGAAGGCCUUCGGGUUGUAAAGUACGUCCCGCGGGGAGGCGUUACCUGCAGAAGAAGCACCGGCUAACUCCGUGCCAGCAGCCGCGGUAAUAC